GAUGAAGAACGCAGCGAAAUGCGAUAAGUAAUGCGAAUUACAGAAUUUCCGUGAGUCAUCGAAUCUUUGAACGCACAUUGCGCCCACUGGUAUUCCGGUGGGCAUGCCUGUUCGAGCGUCAUUAUCCUCCCUCAAACCCCGGGUUUGGUGUUGGACCCAAGUUGUGUGAACAACUGGUCUCAAAGACAAUGACGGCGUCCGUGGGACCCUCGGUGCAACGAGCUUUUAGGAGCACGCAUCGAGUUGCAAGGACCUUCCGGGCCGGUCUCCUUUACCAUUUUACAAGGUUGACCUCGGAUCAGGUAGGAAUACCCGCUGAACUUAAGCAUAUCAAUAAGCGGAGGA
rnacentral:misc_RNA from 1 species